UGGCAUGAGACAACAAUUAACCUCGAAUAAUGCGCGUGCCUCAAAGGGCAUUUUUGUAAAAUCCUUUAUUAAAACUUUAAAACUCUUAAAAUCAGGGACAGGCUGUCACACAUUCAUAUAAUUUUUCAUUUUUUUUAAUCUUAAAUGUACCCAUUCUCAAAUAUAUCAAUUUGUUAUAUGUAAAAUGUACCCUUUUUUU
rnacentral:lncRNA from 1 species